AGAAUCAACGCUGGCGGCGUGCCUAACACAUGCAAGUCGCACGAGAAAGUGGAGCAAUCCAUGAGUAAAGUGGCGCACGGGUGAGUAACACGUGAAUUAUCUACCUCCGAGUGGGGAAUAGCUGAGAGAAAUCUUAGCUAAUACCGCAUAACACUUACGAGUCAAAGCAGCAAUGCGCUUGGAGAGGAGUUCGCGGCCGAUUAGUUAGUUGGCGGGGUAAUGGCCCACCAAGACGAUGAUCGGUA
rnacentral:rRNA from 1 species